GGGGUUGUGGUUCAGUGGUAGAGCACACACCUAGCAUGGGUGAGGCACUGGGUUCGAUCCUCAGCACCACA
rnacentral:tRNA from 1 species